UACGAAGGGGGCUAGCGUUGUUCGGAAUCACUGGGCGUAAAGGGCGCGUAGGCGGCCGCUCAAGUCGGGGGUGAAAGCCUGUGGCUUAACCACAGAAUUGCCUUCGAUACUGUUUGGCUUGAGACCGGAAGAGGUUAGUGGAACUGCGAGUGUAGAGGUGAAAUUCGUAGAUAUUCGCAAGAACACCAGUGGCGAAGGCGGCUGACUGGUCCGGUUCUGACGCUCGGACACGACAGCAUGGGGAGCGAACGGG
rnacentral:rRNA from 1 species